CGUGGUACCCAUGCUGGAGAGGGCUGGCUCCGCAUUCUUCUCCAGAGCCCGGAAUACGAUCGCACCCAAGAGUAGGUAGACGGCGUAGCUGACCGCCAGCAAACCGGUCACAAGGAAACAAGUGAAAGCAUCAAUCACGCUUCAGAUGAGGUCACUGUGAAGAUCAGGAGCUAAUCCAUUAAUAUUUGACAAAGAACACUGCCAAGUGAACCAUAUAUCAAAGUUGACUGUGCUGUACUGAAACAUGCCUCCACAGCAGUGGCAUGGAAGACUUCACAGCCAAAACAAAGGGGAAAGGGUGAAAUAAACAGCAGAAAGACAGAGUGGGCUAGUGCGCUUGGAGAUGGUACAGCCUAUCCACCCAGCUAUGCAGACUACAGACGUGUAAAGUAG